rnacentral:lncRNA from 1 species
AUGAGAAGAGAGAAGUGGUGGAGUUAUCUCUUCUCUGUUUUGGUUCCAGAGCCAGUGUCCCUUUCCUCCUUCCUCAUCAAACCUAAUUUCCUAGUGGCCCUUCCUUUCUUCCUGGUCCCGCUCCCCUCUUACUCCACCCUGGCUCAGCCUACAGUCCCCCUUUCCCCCUGCCCUUCCCCUUCCUCCCCAUGUCCCUGUGCCUCCCCUUCUCCUCCAGCUCCUAUGUCACCCACAUCCUCCCAUCCUCCUCUACUCUCUACUUCUCAUUUUUCUCACCCUUCCCCCUCAUUGUCUUCCACUCUUCACCUUCAUCCCCCACCUCCUAUGCCAGUGACUUUCACAGAUAUGGCUGUGUAUUUUGGAGAUGUCAUGUGGGAGAGCUACCGGAACCUCAUCUCCUUGGGAUUUCCGAUCCCCAAACCAGAAUUGAUCACCCACCUGGAGCACGGGGCUGAGCCAUGGGGUCCAGGGUCUCAGGAGUCUGAAGAAAGGGGAGUUCCAAAAGAUCCCUAUGCAGGCAUGAGGACCAAGGAAGAAGAGGAGGCAGAAUCAGUCCCCAACCCACCCCCCGCCCUGGGGGGGUCCCCCCCCCCCGCCCCCCCCCCGGGGCCCAGCCCUGCCCCCACCCCCAGCAUCCCCACCCCCACCCCCAAAGCCCUUUUCCUGCCCUGAAUGUGGUUCCUGCUUCUCGCGACGCUCCCACCUCUCGCGCCAUAGGCUGAUCCACUCUGGCGAGCGCCCCUUUCCUUGCCCUGAAUGUGGCAAGUGCUUUGCCCAGGGUGCCCACUUGGCCUUGCAUCUGCGUUCCCACACAGGCGACCGACCCUAUUCUUGUGGUCA